CAGCCGCCACGGUAAUACAGAGGGUGCAAGCGUUAAUCGGAAUUACUGGGCGUAAAGCGCGCGUAGGUGGUUUGUUAAGUUGGAUGUGAAAGCCCCGGGCUCAACCUGGGAACUGCAUCCAAAACUGGCAAGCUAGAGUACGGUAGAGGGUGGUGGAAUUUCCUGUGUAGCGGUGAAAUGCGUAGAUAUAGGAAGGAACACCAGUGGCGAAGGCGACCACCUGGACUGAUACUGACACUGAGGUGCGAAAGCGUGGGGAGCAAACAGGAUUAGAUACCCCGGUAGUCCCUGUCUCUUAUAC
rnacentral:rRNA from 1 species